rnacentral:sRNA from 1 species
GAAGCCUCAGCAUGAACAGAGAAAGGAGCAGGAGCCAAAAAGACCUCACAUUAAGAAGCCUCUGAAUGCUUUUAUGUUAUACAUGAAAGAAAUGAGAGCAAAUGUCGUUGCUGAGUGUACUCUAAAAGAAAGUGCAGCUAUCAACCAGAUUCUUGGCAGAAGGAAAUUCAUGAUUGGCAAAUGAACAUUCAGUUGAGGAGGAUCUAACAACCCUUGUGAAACAUAGAGGAUCAUGUGUUAGCUAUUGUCGAUGAUAAUUUUACCAGUGGCAUGCCCUCUCCCGUGAAGAGCAGGCUAAAUAUUAUGAAUUAGCACGGAAAGAAAGACAGCUACAUAUGCAGCUUUAUCCAGGCUGGUCUGCAAGAGACAAUUAUGGUAAGAAAAAGAAGAGGAAGAGAGAGAAACUACAGGAAUCUACAUCAGGUACAGGUCCAAGAAUGACAGCUGCCUACAUCUGAAACAUGGUGGAAAACGAAGCUCAUUCCCAACAUGCAAAGCCAAGGCAGCGACCCCAGGACCUCUUCUGGAGAUGGAAGCUUGUUGAAAACCCAGACUGUCUCCACGGCCUGCCCAGUCGACCCCAAAGGAACACUGACAUCAAUUUUACCCUGAGGUCACUGCUAGAGACGCUGAUCCAUAAAGACAAUCACUGCCAACCCCUCUUUCGUCUACUGCAAGAGCCAAGUUCCAAAAUAAAGCAUAAAAAGGUUUUUUAAAAGGAAAUGUAAAAGCACAUGAGAAUGCUAGCAGGCUGUGGGGCAGCUGAGCAGCUUUUCUCCCCUCAUAUCUGCGUGCACUUCCCAGAGCAUCUUGCAUCCAAACCUGUAACCUUUCGGCAAGGACAGUAACUUGGCUGCAUUUGCCUGUCAUGCGCAACUGGAGCCAGCAACCAGCACAUCCAUCAGCACCCCAGUGG